rnacentral:rRNA from 1 species
UACGGGGGGAGCAAGCGUUGUUCGGAUUUACUGGGCGUAAAGGGCGCGUAGGCGGUAGCACAAGUCAGUUGUAAAAUCUCCGGGCUUAACUCGGAAAGGUCAACUGAUACUGUGCGACUAGAGUGCAGAAGGGGCAACUGGAAUUCUCGGUGUAGCGGUGAAAUGCGUAGAUAUCAAGAGGAACACCUGCGGCGAAGGCGGGUUGCUGGGCCGACACUGACGCUGAGGCGCGAAAGCUAGGGGAGCGAACGGG